AGCCGGGCAACAGGUGCCGCGCUUGCGCGCAGGGCGGACACGUUGGUCAGACGCCAGCAGGAGGUGGUGGAUUGGUCCGGUGGGAUCCUGGCAUUUACGCCCAGGUGGCGGGAGGACUGGGCGCGAGUUCCGCUAUAAGCGGAACAACUGACACGUUCUGGUGGAGCUGUAGAGGGUAACCAGGAGUCACCAAAACAUCGACUUACUGCGGGCUGGUGAACCUGGGCCGGUUUCAGGCGCUCAAGCUCGCAUCCGUUAAUCCAUUAGCAGCCACGCAUUCAAUGGAAGAGUCCCCCCUGCACCUGCGGUUUUUCCAAUGCAUUUGGUUGAAGAUACUCACUAUACCAAGGAGCUGUAUUUUGAGGUCGUAUAUCCUGAACCCCCUCCUUACAAACACCUGGAGAGAAAUUUGGCACUUUCCAGUUGAGUCCAUCCCAGGAGAGGGGGUCUAGUUCCCUGUGCUAUACGGUAAGACCUUGAUGCUUAUCCUUUUUAAAUGUGCUGGUUUGCACCUACUCCCCCCAAACUCCCAGUCCCUCCCUCGCCCUCCCCCCACCGGCUUGGCAACCAC